rnacentral:rRNA from 1 species
UAAGUUUGAUCCUGGCUCAUGAAGAACGCUGGCGGCGUGCUUAACACAUGCAAGUCGAACGGACUCAUAUUGAAACCUAGUGAUUUAUGAGUUAGUGGCGGACGGGUGAGUAACGCGUGGAAAACCUGCCGUAUACUGGGGGAUAACACUUAGAAAUAGGUGCUAAUACCGCAUAAGCGCACAGCUUCGCAUGAAGUGGUGUGAAAAACUCUGGUGGUAUACGAUGGUUCCGCGUCUGAUUAGCUUGUUGGUGGGGUAAUGGCUCACCAAGACGACGAUCAGUAGCCGGCCUGAGAGGGUGAACGGCCACAUUGGGACUGAGACACGGCCCAAACUCCUACGGGAGGCAGCAGUGGGGAAUAUUGCACAAUGGGGGAAACCCUGAUGCAGCGACGCCGCGUGAGUGAAGAAGUAUUUCGGUAUGUAAAGCUCUAUCAGCAGGGAAGAAAUAGCGACCUUUGGGUCGCCAGACGGUACCUGAUUAAGAAGCCCCGGCUAACUACGUGCCAGCAGCCGCGGUAAUACGUAGGGGGCAAGCGUUAUCCGGAUUUACUGGGUGUAAAGGGAGCGUAGACGGCAGCACAAGUCUGAAGUGAAAUGCCGGGGCUUAACCCCGGAACUGCUUUGGAAACUGUGCAGCUAGAGUGCAGGAGAGGUAAGUGGAAUUCCUAGUGUAGCGGUGAAAUGCGUAUAUAUUAGGAGGAACACCAGUGGCGAAAGCGGCUUACUGGACUGUAACUGACGUUGAGGCUCGAAAGCGUGGGGAGCAAACAGGAUUAUAUACCCUGGUACUCCACGCUGUAAACGAUGAUUACUAUGUGUUGGGGGACCAAUGUCCUUCAGUGCCGUCACAACGCAUUAAGUAAUCCACCUGGGGAGUACGUUCGCAAGAUGACACUCAAAGAAUUGACGGGGACCUGCUCACCAGUGGAGCAUGUGGUUUAUUCGAAUCGACCCUAGAACCAUACCUCGUCUGACUCCCGAUGACCACUGAUCAAAGUCACUUUCCAUCCGGGCAUUGUGACACGUGGCUGCAUGGUUGUCUGUCACAUCAGUCAUG